rnacentral:lncRNA from 1 species
AUGAGGUCGGAGAUGGAGCCCAGCGAGGUGGGGAGGCCCCGAGUGGGGCUGCGGGCUCCCGGCGGAGGCAGGGCAGGGGCCGGUCCCGGGCCGGUGCCGUCGGGGGGUGCAGCGGGGGAACCCCGUUCCCCGGGCGGUGGCAGCGGCGGUAGCGGCGGCGGCUCCGGUUUGGCGCUGCGGAUCCUGCGGGCGCGACGGUUCUGGAACCAGACCUGGACCGGGCAGGGUCGGGGAGCAGGGGCGAGACACGACCGUCAGACACCGGUGGCAGCCGGACCGGGCAGCCCCGCGGAAGAGGUGUGGGGGGGUCCCGGCCCCNNNNNNNNNNGGAGGAAGGGACGGAGGAGGAGGAGGAGGAGCGGGGGGGAAUGUCCUUUCGGCGCUCACCUGGAUCUUGGCCUCGGGCAGCUGGGUGAGCUCGGCCAGGCGCUCCCGGGUGGCGAUGUCCGGGUAGGGGACGGCGGCGAAGGCCCGCUCCAGCUCCGACAGCUGUCCCCGGCUGAACGUGGUCCUCCGCCUCUUCCGAGGCCCCCCCGGGCAGGGACAGGGACAGGGACACGGCCCCGGGGCGCGGACCCCCCCCACCGCCCGCCCGCCGCCCGGCCCGCCCGCCCCGUCGGGGAAGCGGAGCAACGGCUGGGGGGUGCGGGAGGUGCCCGGGGCCGCGCUCAUCCUGCCCGGCUCCCCCGGCCCCGCCGCCGCAGCCACGGCUUUUAUUCCGCCCCCCCCCCCCCCCCCCGCCCCGACCCCGGCGGGCUGGGACCGCCCCGAGCGGGCGGUGCUGCCCCCCCCCCCCGUCCUUCCCCGGCGGCUCCCGGGGCCGGUCCCCGCUCCGCGCCCCCCGACGGCAGCACCCCCAAAGCCCCGGCCGCUCCGGCGACGGUCUCCCCCAGCAUCCCCCGGGGACCAGUAAUCCCACCAGCUGCCCGUACUGGUCUCCCCCCACCCCAUCCCACCCCACUGUGUCGAGGCACGGUGGGCCCCGUGAGGAUCCCAGGGCUCGGAGGGGGGCGCCGGGGGCCAGUGGGUCGGGGGACCCCCAGCAAGUGCAGGAUUUCGGGGCUCCCUGCACCCCACUGCCCGGCUCCCAUGGCCGAGGUGUCACCGCCUGCCUCCCACCACCCCCCCCGCCGCCCUGCCUCGUCCCCCACCGUGCCGUGGCCGCUCUCCCACGGGGCUGGCACCGGUCAAUGUUUAACCGGAGCGGUGGUACCUGUUGUGCGGGGCAGCCCAGGCUGGCUGGAGGUGGCUCCCGCCGGGACCGGCCGGGUGCUGCGGGCACCCUGA